CUAGGAGAGAAAAGAAGAAAAAGGUGCAGAAAUCCCGUGCCAUCGAUCCUAAGCAAAGCAAAUCAUUAAAAGUUGAUAAGAGCCAGGCAGAGUACUUUUUUUACAAGAAGCUGGGUCAUUGAAAAAGGAAUUGUCCUACUUAUAUAGCCGCCCUUGACCCAAAUAGGCCUAAAAAUAAGAAAAAGAAGCAAACGGUUGCUUUGGAAGAUACUU
rnacentral:lncRNA from 1 species